rnacentral:rRNA from 1 species
CCUACGGGUGGCAGCAGUAGGGAAUAUUGCUCAAUGGGGGCAACCCUGAAGCAGCAACGCCGCGUGGAGGAUGAAGGUUUUAGGAUUGUAAACUCCUUUUGUUAGAGAAGAUUAUGACGGUAUCUAACGAAUAAGCACCGGCUAACUCCGUGCCAGCAGCCGCGGUAAUACGGAGGGUGCAAGCGUUACCCGGAUUCACUGGGCGUAAAGGGUGCGUAGGCGGGGUAAUAAGUCAGGUGUGAAAUCCUGUGGCUUAACUACAGAACUGCAUUUGAAACUGUUACUCUGGAGUAUGGGAGAGGUAGGUGGAAUUCUUGGUGUAGGGGUGAAAUGCGUAGAGAUCAAGAGGAACACUGAUUGCGAAGGCGGCCUGCUGGAACAUUACUGACGCUGAUGCGCGAAAGCGUGGGGAGCAAACAGGAUUAGAUACCCCAGUAGUC